AUUGAACGCUGGCGGCAUGCCUUACACAUGCAAGUCGAACGGCAGCACGGGAGCAAUCCUGGUGGCGAGUGGCGAACGGGUGAGUAAAGUAUCGGAACGUGCCCAGUCGUGGGGGAUAACGUAGCGAAAGUUACGCUAAUACCGCAUACGAUCUAUGGAUGAAAGCGGGGGAUCGCAAGACCUCGCGCGAUUGGAGCGGCCGAUAUCAGAUUAGGUAGUUGGUGGGGUAAAGGCUCACCGAGCCGACGAUCUGUAGCUGGUCUGAGAGGACGAACGGCCACACUGGGACUGAGACACGGCCCAUACUCCUACGGGGGGCAGCAGUGGGGAAUUUUGGACAAUGGGCGAAAGCCUGAUCCAGCCAUGCCGCGUGCAGGAUGAAGGCCUUCGGGUUGUAAACUGCUUUUGUACGGAACGAAAAGGUUUGGCCUAAUAAGCUGAGCUCAUGACGGUACCGUAAGAAUAAGCACCGGCUAACUACGUGCCAGCCGCCGCCGUAA
rnacentral:rRNA from 1 species